UUUGGGACACCGAAAAGCAUCAGCAAAUCAGUGAAAUUAAUAAGAAGAAUCGAGCUUCUAGUUCUAGUGAAGGGUCUGCCACAUAUGCUGGGGGCUCUAUUAAUAUCGGGGAGCAUAGAAAAAGAAUGGCAGAUGAAUUGGGGACGGAACCAACAUUUAUGGCUACAUUUGAACGCACCUUUCAGAAAAAAGAUAAGACAUGGACCGGCAAUCGAGCAAAAGUUAUUAAGGACAAAUAUGAUGAACUUGUAAUGAGCACGGCUGCUGCUAGUGGUGAUGGUGAUGGUGAUGGUGAUGG